AGAGUAAGCCAACCUUGUCUGGACUGCAUUAUCUUCAGAUAUCUUCCAGCUUCAGCUGUUCUGAGUCCAUAAGAAAUCUGAGAUGUGUUCAGAGAAGAAGAAAACAGUAAACAAAAGCUUAGAAAGUCACAUUUACUCAAACCUGAGUGUGAAGAUUUAAGUUAAAAUAGAUGCCAGUGGACUGAACGUGAUGGUGUAAGAAAGAAGUGGAGGGAUUUGAGAAUCACUGCAUGCAACUUCACAUUCCGUCUGAAAACCCAGGCUUCAGUUUGAUUGAAGUUUCCUGGGUGAAGUCUACAGAUAGCGUUUGGGAUGAGGGAAAGGAAGAACCCUUCUGUAGUAUAGAUGUGGUAGCCUGGGACCAAAGGAAAGUGAUACAUCUAUAGGAUGGCUCAUUCUUCAGAGGUAGGAUAUUUGGAAAAGCUAAUCCAGUAUACUGAAAACGUGCUAUAAAUUCCUUUCACGUCAGUAAGGAAAAAUAUCUCUUCUAGUUAUGAAAAGUAAGGGCAGUACUUGAAAGCAAUACCUGUGUUGAAUUGUAAUA